UGUGCCAGCCGCCGCGGUAAUACGUAGGGUGCGAGCGUUGUCCGGAAUUACUGGGCGUAAAGGGCUCGUAGGUGGUUUGUCGCGUCGUCUGUGAAAUUCCGGGGCUUGACUCCAGGCGUGCAGGCGAUACGGGCAUAACUUGAGUACUGUAGGGGUAACUGGAAUUCCUGGUGUAGCGGUGAAGUGCGCAGAUAUCAGGAGGAACACCGAUGGCGAAGGCAGGUUACUGGGCAGUUACUGACGCUGAGGAGCGAAAGCAUGGGUAGCGAACAGGAUUAGAU
rnacentral:rRNA from 1 species